AACCUAUGGUGAGGGCACCUUCUCAAUAAAUCCUUAUACCUCUCCCAUGCAUCAUAUUGUAAUGCCCCUAAAAAAUUUAGAAGUCUCUUUUUAUGAUGGU
rnacentral:snoRNA from 1 species